UGCCUACGGGACGCAGCAGUGCGGAAUAUUGGUCAAUGGGCGGGAGCCUGAACCAGCCAAGUCGCGUGAGGGAAGACGGUCCUAUGGAUUGUAAACCUCUUUAGGCGGGGAGCAAUGCCGGGCACGUGUGCCCGGAGGGAGAGUACCCGCAGAAUAAGCAUCGGCUAACUCCGUGCCAGCAGCCGCGGUAAUACGGAGGAUGCGAGCGUUAUCCGGAUUUAUUGGGUGUAAAGGGUGCGUAGACGGGGAUACAAGUUAGUAGUGAAAUCCCUCGGCUUAACUGAGGAACUGCUACUAAAACUAUA
rnacentral:rRNA from 1 species